rnacentral:tmRNA from 1 species
GGGGAUGAACGGCUUCGACGGGGCAGGAUAAUCUGGGAUCGCAAGCCGUAGAGCGUCGACUACGCUAAAAAGGCGCAACACCUAUAAAUGCCAAAAACACUGGCAAGGCUUUUAACUUCGGUUUCGCUAACGUCGCUCCGGCGGCAAUGGCGGCCUAAGUUAGGCCAAUGAUCCCUUACGGGGGGUCACGGUCUAUUCAGUGGGACCAGCAGGCUGAAUAGUCACCGACAUAUACUGUGAGUUGCGGCAGCCCGACGCCGAUAACGGCUGCCUAAGAUUUUCGGCUAGCUGGGUAUGAACUCCCGUUGCCCAGAGGUCCCCCAGCGAACCACCAAGUGAGCGACUAAGCUUGUAGACGUCUCAGAUUGAAUGUUUCGGACGCGGGUUCAAUUCCCGCCAUCUCCACCA